rnacentral:rRNA from 1 species
GAUCAUGGCUCAGAUUGAACGCUGGCGGCAUGCCUUACACAUGCAAGUCGAACGGCAGCGGGCCUUCGGGUGCCGGCGAGUGGCGAACGGUGAGUAAUGCAUCGGAACGUGCCAUUGAGUGGGGGAUAACGUAGCGAAAGUUACGCUAAUACCGCAUAUUCUGUGAGCAGGAAAGCAGGGGACCGCAAGGCCUUGCGCUCUUUGAGCGGCCGAUGUCAGAUUAGCUAGUUGGUGAGGUAAAGGCUUACCAAGGCGACGAUCUGUAGCGGGGUCUGAGAGGAUGAUCCGCCACACUGGAACUGAGACACGGUCCAGACUCCUACGGGAGGCAGCAGUGGGGAAUUUUGGACAAUGGGCGCAAGCCUGAUCCAGCCAUGCCGCGUGAGUGAAGAAGGCCUUCGGGUUGUAAAGCUCUUUCGGCCGGGAAGAAAUCGCAUGGGUUAAUACCCUGUGUGGAUGACGGUACCGGAAUAAGAAGCACCGGCUAACUACGUG